CUCUACAGGUAAUCCACUCAAACCCCUGAGCAGAUCGUCCUUCUUAGGAGUGCUAGCUCGUGAUGAAGGAUCUGGAUGGCUGAUGGAGACUCCUUUCUUCCAAUCAAAUAGAUACCUUUAAAUCAGAGAAAGAGCUUUUCAAGGAGGAGAUGGUGUGAAGAACAAAAACAUUUUAUUUUUCUCUCUCACAAAACAGCUACAACCCUCACCCUAGAUCUCACACCCCAAAGAGGAUCUUCUUCCUCUUUCUCUCAUGCACGGAUGUCCACCCCUCUUUUUAGAUCUUUCAUGCAAUCUUUGAGGUUUUCUUAUGCCAAAUCUAAAGUGGUUUGGUGCAUAAAAAUUACUCUUCUUAAAGGUGGCAUCACAUGUAGAGUUUGGAUAAUCUGGUUCAGCUUCAAACAGCCUUUUGAUCUUAUCAUGAAUUCAAAUCAAAUUUUAAUUUUAUUUUAAAUUAGAUUUAAUCUACACAUAAGGGUAUCAAAAAGGAGAGUGACUUAACUCAGAUUGGUUGAAAAAAUAUCACAUAAAAAAUUAUUUGCAUAUGAGAAGG
rnacentral:lncRNA from 1 species